rnacentral:tRNA from 1 species
AUGAAGUGCCUGAUAAAAAGGGUUAUCAUGAUAGGGUAAAUUAUACUUAAUAGUCUUCAUUAC